CCAAACUAGGAUGGACCAUUCGAAGUUGUUGGCAUCAGUCGCUCUGACUCCUACAAGCUUAGAAGCUCUGAUGGCAAGACCAUUGGCCAUCCAUGGAACGCUAAUCACUUGAAGUACUAUUACAAGUAAACUCACAUUAUACAAGUGUCAAGUUUCAGCCGUUCGACAUGAAUUCAAUAAAGAGGUGAUUUAGACAACUCGGUCCUAAUUAUCUCACAUUCCUAGCAAUGAAACACUCGAGUUUAAAGCUUCAACAUGAAUGCUUCCAACAUGAAACAAAGUCUAAGUAUAUGUCAACAAGACUAUACAAAUAAACUAAUAGCUUCACAGUAUAUUCGUUCAAUCAUACAUUCCAACACAUUCAUACAUAAGCCAACUAUGCUUCAAAAUGGUUCAACAUACUUUGUGUCAUUCGACACUUGCUACAAUGUGCCUCGACACCUUGCCCUUAUUCUCACCAACCAGGUGAUGAAAUGUGAAGAAGGAAUUCAUCUUCAUGCCACCAACCAGGUGAUGAAAUGUACAACCCGUACUCUCCUUCAUGCCACCAACUAGGUGAUGAAAUGUAUAACCCGUACUCUAAUAUCAUUUGGCAACUUGGCACUCAUGCCACCAACCAGUGAAGAAGGAACUCAUCUUCAUGCCACCAACCAGGUGAUGAAAUGUACAACCCGUACUCUCCUUCAUGCCACCAACUAGGUGAUGAAAUGUACAACUCGUACUCUAAUAUCAUUUGGCAACUUGCCAUUCAUGCCACCAACCGGUGAAGAAAUAACUCAUCUUCGUGCCACCAACCAGGUGAUGAGUGGUACAACUUGUACAUGUGAACUCCUAGCAUUUACAAAUAAUUAAAAACCCUCAAGCUUGACAACUCAACUAGAGGAGUACUUAUGCCCAACAAGAGUUAUAGUCACCAACAAAGUCUUAUUGCAAGCCAACAACAACUUCAAUGCAUGGCAUACGAAGAUCAAGCUAUUCAGCCCUCUGGCAUCUGCUUUAGACAUUUCUCCUCUAUAACAAUGCAAACACUACAAUUCUCAAAAGCUUCACACACUCUUGAUCAAGACAGUGUGAAGUAGAACCAAUUUAUGGUGCCAACAAGAGCUUCAUCAAUGGACGACAACCACAAUUCUCAAAAACUUCACACACUCUUGAUCAAGAUAGUGUGAAGCAAAACAAAUUUAUGGUGCCAAAAAGAGCUUCAUCAAUGGAGGGCAACCACAAUUCUCAAAAGCUUCACACACUCUUGAUCAAGACAGUGUGAAGCAAAACCAAUUUAUGGUGCCAACAAGAUCUUCAUCAAAGGAGUUCAACCACAAUUCUCAAAAGCUUCAAACACUCUUGAUCAAGACAGUGUGAAGUAAAACCAAUUUAUGGUGCCAACAAGAGCUUCAUCAAUGGAGGGCAACCACAAUUCUUAAAAACUUCACACACUCUUGAUCAAGACAGUGUGAAACAAAACCAAUUUAUGGUGCCAACAAGAGCUUCAUCAAAGGAGUUCAACCAAAAUUCUCAAAAGCUUUACACACUCUUGAUAAAGACAGUGUGAAGCAAAACCAAUUUAUGGUGCCAACAAAAGCUUCAUCAA
rnacentral:lncRNA from 1 species